AACAGGCCAAAGACGGACAGUUUUAGUAACAGCCACAGCCUCGUCUUCCUUCCUUAUCACUUGAAAUGGUCACUUACACUUCUGCUAGAUAACACCUGUGAAAGGCAGGGGUCUCCUUCCUCUGAAUGUGUUUACUGAUUUCCUGGAGGUCACCGGGUCGUUGUUCAGUAAGAACAAGAAAGAGCUUCUGCCGGUGCUUUCCACUCUCUUCGGAAGACAGAGGAUCUUUCUCCGGGGGCUACCAUGGACUCCCAGGGUUUAGAAUAUUCAGUUCCUCAGAUCCCUGUUUAUGGUAGAAUCAUAAGACCCUGCAGAAGAUUCGCAGACACAACAAACAGUGGCACAGAGCAUGGCCCUUUUCCUUCGUGGAGAAGCGUGCACUACCCACUCUCAGAAACCUUAGAGAUUUCAAUGCCCACCCUCUUCCCGGAUCAACAGGGUCCAAGAGCAGGAAAGUGGAACUGAAUACCUGGAGUAAGACCAAAGAAUGCUGCAGUGUGGACUGGGGGGAUAAAUUCCAGGCAUUUCUUCUUGCUUCCAAACGUAACUGAAUCUCUUUUAUCUGGAAAUAUGACUUGAGUUCAUAGGAAAGAGGAAUCAGGCCAAAGCCACUUUUUAAUAUUGGGGCAUCAGAAAUACCACAGGCACAGGCUUUUUCACAGGAUGGUAUUUCUUGUUUGGACAUCUGGCUGAUCUGCUGAAAACAUGCAUCUGUGAGAAAUACAUGGGAACAAUUUCUUUUUGAUAAAUAAGGAAAUACUUUAGUAGAGGGUUAGUAUUGAAUUCUUACUUUGUGUAUUUUCUUUUAGCAGCAACACCUUUUUCCUUUCUUUGCUAUGUUAGGAGAGAAAGAAGACUCAUGUUUAUUGUACGAACACAGUUACAUUUACAUUUUAAUGCACUGCUCUUAGAAAACAAACCAGGAAGCCACACGGAUUAUUUCUACAUGUUUCCACCCCUGUGGGAAAUCAGUGUUUCGAAACUUCAGCAUAUUACAUAUAAAUAAACAUACCUCAUUCAUCUCGCA